CUCCGGAAAACCGGAGUUACUAUUCACUUUAAGUGAAAACUAAUAAUCGCGUAACUUCUCCGUUUUAGCUCAUUUUCUUCUGAAACUUGACGAGUGCUUAUGUAAUUAAAUUACACACAUAAACAUCAUCAACGGAGAGUUUAGUUGCACUGUAAACAUCUCAGUCCUUACACACUAAGUCUACAGAAAGUGCAUAAGAGAUAGUAAGGAAAGCUGGAAGCCCUAUAGCUGUAUGCCACUAUAUUAUCGCUAACCAACGCUGGCUAUCUGUAGAUAAAACAAAAUGCAAUCUCUGACCCAAACUCACUAGGGACUGUGAACGCACCCGUCCCACCUGUCGAAGCUACACCGCAUACCACCCCGAGGGCUGCCGGUCGA
rnacentral:lncRNA from 1 species